UCAGACAUGGUGUAACGGCAACAUCUCCUCGAAAGCUACCAAAAGAGGGGGGGAGAUUUCCGAGCAGGUUCCGGGUUCGACUCCCAGUGUCUGAA